AUUGAACGCUGGCGGCAGGCCUAACACAUGCAAGUCGAACGAGUGGCGGACGGGUGAGUCAUGUAUGGGAAACUGCCUGAUGGAGGGGGAUAACUACUGGAAACGGUAGCUAAUACCGCAUACCAUCAGAUGUGCCCAGAUGGGAUUAGCUUGUGGGUGGGGUAACGGCUCACCAAGGCGACGAUCCCUAGCUGGUCUGAGAGGAUGACCAGCCACACUGGAACGGAGACACGUUCCAUACUCCUACGGGAGGCAGCAGUGGGGAAUAUUGGACAAGGGGCGAAAGCCUGAUCCAGCCAUGCCGCGUGUGUGAAGAAGGUCUUCGGAUUGUAAAGCACUUUAAGUUGGGAGGCGUUACCAACAGAAUAAGCACCGGCUAACUUCGUGCCAGCAGCCGCGGUAAUUC
rnacentral:rRNA from 1 species